rnacentral:piRNA from 1 species
UUGGAACACAUCACUAACAUGUGCUCA